UCAUCUUCCUCGGGUGCAGUGACGUAGAUUUCAAGCGACGUCACACGUAUCAACAUUCAUCUGCUGCUGGAACUGUUCAUGAAGUGAACUCUCACGUCAAUCUGUCAGAAUGGGCAGAGGCUACAUAGUGGAGGAUGUGGUGGAGAAAUAUCUGUCCAAUCUCAGUGUACCAGGUGCAUCUUGUGUCACAGGACUUUUCAUUGGCCAGAGUUCGUCCCAGAGAGACUUUGUGGUGCUGGCUGUGAGGACACCUCAGAAGGACACAGAGGGACAGGGGUCCCCGUCAGUCAGCAGGAGAGCUGGGAACUCACUGGAACACCUGGACGUGGAGUGGGUCACUGAGCAUGCCAGACAGGUCUCCCGGAUGUUACCAGGAGGUAUGUCAGUUAUUGGUGUGUUUCUUGUCACCCCACCUGAGCUGUCCAAAGAGGCUCAAAAUACAUUGAGACGGUUGAUCUUUGCGGUGGACAAGCAUAUAUCCAAGGGACGGCUAUGGAGUCUAACAGAGGAGGAUGUAACAGAGAAGGUCACACUUCACAUCUGCUCCAAAACCAGGAAAGUCGUUUGCAGAACAUUUGAUGUUCGAGAUCCUAAGAGUUCUGCCAAGCCUGCUGAUUGGAAGUACCAGUCGGGGGUGUGUACUUCCUGGCCAUUGUUGACAUGCUCAGUGGGACUGAACCUGGUGUUCCCUGUGUUAGAGAUGCAUGUCUUACCACAGGACAUGGAAAAGUGUAUGAAGGAGGGACUUCAAACGUGGGCGAAGCAGAUUGAAGAUGGGCUUUGCCUCAUCAAUGGCGACGCGAUGCCUGGCGAGGUGGAGCUACUGGGAGGGCAGAAAAAGAAUGCAAAGGCUGUUCAGCAGACGUUCCGAGCCCAGAUCCUCAUCCCGAUGGCGGAACCCCAAUCAGAGCGAAGGUCGACGGCGUCUGUGAAGGUGUGCAGUGGGUCUCUCACCCUGAAGGGAAUGGUGCAGUGCAGGGCCUACCUCCACAGCAACAAACCCAGAGCCAAGCACGCUACAGAGGUCAUCAAGAGAGAUGUCAUCAACACGGUGUCUAGCAGAGUGGAGAUGUUCCUGGAAGAUCUUUUAAUGGAGGGAGAGAACAAAGGGUCAGUCGGUGUACAGCAGGGGCUCCCUCGCAGAGUGUUUGCCCCCGUGCCCGGAAUGAGCCUGUGUGUGUGUGACUACAUGUUCCCUGACGAGUGUGUGUCCGAUGUGAGUGACCGUCUCAAAGAGAUGCUGGACUGGGAGACGCCCGAGGACAGCAUAGACACCUCCCAGGAGGCCGUACCAGGUGGUUUAUCAUAAUAACCAGGGGUCAAUGUAGCAGGCGGCCAUAACUGUGUACUACUACAGUAUCAACUGUAAUCCUCCAGUGACCUGGUUUGAGUCACUAAAGCCCAUUGUAAGCUCCUACGAUUGACCUAAAGGACACGGUUGUUCAGAAGAACCUGAAGGCUAAAUCUACUCUUGACGCUCGUCCCAAGACACCCUCUGAAGAUCCCACUGAAGCCCACAAAAGCCACAAAACAUAUUACGCUGGUGUUGCCAUGGCAGCCGCAAUCGCUCUCCUAGCAACAGGCACCUCGCUGAUAUACCUGAGCGACUAACGGAGGAGGCACAGGACACACACACCACGAGAGCUGUUGUUAUGCGCAGUGACUUAAUCGCUUGAUUAAUUAGAUUUUCAUGAAAUUGAGUUGACAUGGUUAUUAUAAAAGUAUAUGCAAGCUGUAUGUUUGGUAUUGAUAAUUCAGCAUUUUAUUUUCAUAUGAAUUGUAAAGCAGAAUUGUGUAGAGAGGAAAAACAAUAAAUAAAUACAGUUCGUUUUGAUUUAUUUUCUUUCAGUUGUAAAAGGUUACACAAAGAAACUUGUACAGCGUAUGAUUUAAUGUCUUUCAGAAAGUGUGUCUAAUGCGAUAUAUUCAAAAUUCCCUCCAUAUUAUGGGGAAAAUGGACCCCCUGCUAAUUGUUGUUAAGUUCAUUUAGUCAUCAAUAGAUAUUCUGAUGUGUGCCAAUCAUAAACUUUCCGCUCUGUCCUCACAUAUUGCCUCAGGCCAACCGUAUCGGACCUCUCCUCAACCACAGUGCUGGCACAACGAACAAAUGACAUGCGUCUGUAUUCAAUAUCGUUUUUUUUUUGUUGCAAUGAUUUAGGCCUACGGUAUGGACUUGUAUGGUUAUGCUUGGUAUGAUGGGCAUAUUCUAUGCUUUGAUCCUCCCAAAGGAUCGUUCAGGCUUGGCCUUAAUAUCGGAAAUACUGUAUUUUAUGUAUUCAUCUAUGACGUAAUUGAGCAGAAUAAAGAAGUCCGUUCAAAGUAA